UACGAAGGGGGCUAGCGUUGUUCGGAAUUACUGGGCGUAAAGGGCGCGUAGGCUGUGCUGUAAGUCAGGCGUGAAAGCCCCGGGCUCAACCUGGGAAUUGCGCUUGAUACUGCGGCGCUGGAAGGUGGGAGAGGAUGGCGGAAUUCCCAGUGUAGCGGUGAAAUGCGUAGAUAUAGGAAGGAACACCAGUGGCGAAGGCGACCACCUGGACUGAUACUGACACUGAGGUGCGAAAGCGUGGGGAGCAAACAGG
rnacentral:rRNA from 1 species